rnacentral:rRNA from 1 species
GACGAACGCUGACGGCGUGCUUAACACAUGCAAGUCGAAGGGAGUGGCGCACGGGUGAGUAACACGUGAGUAACCUGCCCUUUUCUUUGGUAUAAGCCUGGGAAACUGGGUCUUAUACUGGAUGGAUUGGAAUGGGAUCGCGGCUUAUCAGGUUGUUGGUGGGGUGAUGGCUUACCCAGGCGUUGACGGGUAGCCGGGCUGAGAGGGGGGCGGGGAAGACGGGGACGGGGAUACGGCCCAGAGUGGUACGGGAAGCAGCAGUGGGGGAUAUUGCAGAAGUCUCGAAAGUCUGAUGCAGCGACGUCGAGUGGGUGAUGAAGGCCUUCGGGUUGUAAACUCCGUUCGCCCGCGGAAUGGUAGUUGGUCAAGAAGCGCCGGCUAACUACGUGCCAGCCGCCGCGGUAAUUC